rnacentral:rRNA from 1 species
AAUAUUGGACAAUGGGCGAAAGCCUGAUCCAGCCAUGCCGCGUGGGUGAAGAAGGUCUUCGGAUUGUAACGCACUUUAAGUUGGGAGGAAGGGCAGUAAGUUAAUACCUCGCUGUUUUGACGUUACCGAAAGAAUAAGCACCGGCUAACGUCGUGCCAGCAGCCGCGGUCAUACGAAGGGUGCAAGCGUUAAUCGGAAUUACUGGGGGUAAAGCGCGCGUAGGUUGUUUGUUAAGAUUGGAGAGAAAGGCCCGGGCUCAACCUGGGAACUGCUUUCAAAAAUGGCAAACUAGAAUAUGGCAGGGGGUGGUAGAAUUUCCUGUAUAGCGGUGAAAAGCAUAGAUAUAGGAAGGAACACCAGUGGCGAAGGAGGCCACCUUGGGUAAUACUGACACUGAGGUGCAAAAACGUUGGGAGCAAAC